rnacentral:pre_miRNA from 1 species
CAAAUACUCCCUCCGUCCGGAAAUACUUGUCAUUAAAAUGGAUAAAAGGAAAUGUAUCUAGACGUAUUUUAGUUUUAGAUACAUCUCUUUUUAUCCAUUUUGAUGACAAGUAUUUUCGGACGGAGGGAGUAGAAA